AAGGCAACAACUUUGAAUCAGACUUUGUAUGAAGAUUUCCAGCUGCCCAGCUUGAUGCUUGAGAAUAUGCAGCAGAACAUUUCAUCUUUGCUCAAAACCAUACAGAAAAGGCACUUCAUGCAGUUGCACCAAAAUGUCACCCUGGAACUCAAGGCUGCUCAAGACUUACUGUCAUAAAUUCAGAAAGCAUACCAGAAGCCACAGGAAGAGUUGGAAGUGUUGAAAGAAAUAGCAAGCCGGCUCCUGGCUGAGCACAGUGGACAGCUGCAGGCGGCCAAGACACUAGUGAAGGACGCAGAGGGAAAGAGCCAGGAAAGCGACCGUCUGCUGCUCGUGGCCAGCGCCAACCUGAGAGAGUUUGAGGUAUUGCAUUGGAACUGAGUAAAUUGAGAAAUACAGCAAACAUUUCAAAAGAACGCUGAUAAAAUUACCAGGCAGACCAAUGAAUCACUCUCGAUACAUAGAGCAAUUCCUGAAGAUGUGGGACACCAAGGAGCCAGAACUAAAGAGCUGGCCACAUCUGUAAACAGGAGCGCUGUGAGCACGCUGGCAGAUGUGGCAGGGGGUUGAGCUGGAAGCUGCUCGACACGUCGACUGGCCUGUCCGGGGUCAACGCCACAUUGCGAGAGACAAACAAGCUCCUGCAUGACUCGAACCUGACCACUCCCAGAAUGAAGACUCUUCCUUCCAUUUUGAUGGGAGUGGGUACUCUCUUGUGGAGAAAACGCUUCGGGCGACUGUGACUCAGAUAAUAAUGCUCUUCAGUACCUUUUCACCCAAUGGACUUCUUCUCUACCUGGCUUCCAACCGCACAAAAGACUAUAUCCAUCGAGUUGGUCCACAGCAGAGUGAAAGUUACUGUUUACCUGGGUUCGGGACCCCUUGCUCUUAUUACAGACAGAUGUUACAACAACAUGACCUGGUACAAAAUUGCCUUUCAGCGAAACCGGAAACAAGGUCUCCUAGCGGUCAUCACGUACAACACUAGUUACAAAGAGACUAAGCAAGGCAAGACUCUGGGAGUAUCUUCUGACCGCAAUCAUCUAGAUAAG